rnacentral:rRNA from 1 species
CCUACGGGGCGCAGCAUGCGCGAAACCUUCGCAAUGCGCGCAAGCGCGACGAGGUUAUUCCGAGUGAUUUCCGCUGAGGAAAUCUUUUCUCAGAUCUAAAACGUCUGGGGAAUAAGGGGAGGGCAAGUCUGGUGUCAGCCGCCGCGGUAAUACCAGCUCCUCGAGUGGUCAGGGCGUUUAUUGGGCCUAAAGCAUCCGUAGCCUGCUCGGUAGGUCUCCUGUCAAAUCCAACGGCUCAACCGUUGGUCCGCAGGAGAUACCGCCGGGCUAGGAGGCGGGAGAGGCGGACGGUACUCCGAGGGUAGGGGUAAAAUCCUUUGAUCCCCGGAAGACCACCAGUGGCGAAGGCGGUCCGCCAGAACGCGCUCGACGGUGAGGGAUGAAAGCUGGGGGAGCGAACCGGAUUAGAUACCCGGGUAGUCCCAGCUGUAAACGAUGCGAGCUAGGUGACACGACGCCUUCGGGGCAUCGUGGUGCCGCAGGGAAGCCGUUAAGCUCGCCGCCUGGGGAGUACGGACGCAAGUCUGAAACUUAAAGGAAUUGGCGGGGAGCACCACAAGGGGUGAAGCCUGCGGUUCAAUUGGAGUCAACGCCGGGAACCUUACCGGGAGCGACAGCAGAUUGAAGGUCAAGCUGAAGACUUUACCAGACGAGCUGAGAGGAGGUGCAUGGCCGUCGCCAGCUCGUGCCGUGAGGCGUCCUGUUUAAGUCAGGCAACGAAGCGAGACCCCUUACUUCUAAUUUGCUUAUUCAGGGGCCG